rnacentral:rRNA from 1 species
AUUGAACGCUGGCGGCAGGCUUAACACAUGCAAGUCGAGCGGAGUGAUGGUGCUUGCACUAUUACUUAGCGGCGGACGGGCGAGUAAUGCUUAGGAAUCUGCCAUUUAGUGGGGGACAACAUUCCGAAAGGAAUGCUAAUACCGCAUACGUCCUACGGGAGAAAGCAGGGGAUCUUCGGACCUUGCGCUAAAUGAUGAGCCUAAGUCGGAUUAGCUAGUUGGUGGGGUAAAGGCCUACCAAGGCGACGAUCUGUAGCGGGUCUGAGAGGAUGAUCCGCCACACUGGGACUGAGACACGGCCCAGACUCCUACGGGAGGCAGCAGUGGGGAAUAUUGGACAAUGGGCGGAAGCCUGAUCCAGCCAUGCCGCGUGUGUGAAGAAGGCCUCUUGGUUGUAAAGCACUUUAAGCGAGGAGGAGGCUCUCCUAGUUAAUACCUAGGAAGAGUGGACGUUACUCGCAGAAUAAGCACCGGCUAACUCUGUGCCAGCCGCCGCAGUAAUAC